rnacentral:lncRNA from 1 species
UAAGCAGUAUGAAAAUGUUCAUCCUUAUCCCUUUUGAUUAAUUUUGGCUUGAAGUCUACUUUAUUUGAUAUGAAGAUGGAAACCCCUGCUUACUUAUGUCGGCCAUAUGAAUGGUAUAUUUAUAUUUUAUCACCUUCAGUCUGUGGGUGUCUUUUCCUACGAGAUGAAUCUUUUGAAGGCAGCAUAUUGUUGGGUCUUGUUUUAAAAAUCCAAUCUACCAGCCUAUGUCUUUUGAUUGGUGAGUUUAAGCCAUUAACAUUUAGGGUUAUAUUGAGAGAUGAUUGUAUUACUGGUCAUUUUUGUUUAUUUUUGAUAUUUAGUGCUUGACUUGGUUUCUCCUUUGGUUGGCUUUUCUUUUAUUGUAGUUCAUCCCUUUGCAGAUUUUCGUUGUUUUUCAUUUCCUUCUCAUGGAAUAUUUUGCCAAGAAUGUUCUACAAGAAGUGCAGGCUUUCUUGUUGUAAAUUCUUUUAGCUUUUGUUUAUCAUGGAAGGUUUUUAUUUCAUCAUCAAAUUUGAAGCUUAAUUUUGCUGGAUAUAAGAUACUUGGUUGGCAUCCAUUAUCUUUUAGAGCUUGAUAUAUGUUGUUCCAGGAUCUCCUAGCUUUGAGAGUCUGGGUUGAAAAAUCUGUUGAGCUCCGAAUUGGUCUUCCUUUAUAUCUGAUUUUUCUCUCUU